UGUUCUUUUAUUUUCGAUCGCGAUCUCGAUCUCGUCUCUUGAUCCAUUCUAGAGAGAGAGAGAGAGAGAGAGAGAGGAUAGAGAAACCCUAAUUCUUGGCGAUCUUGUUUCUUUGGUCCGCUCAAUUCAGAGAGAUUCUCUCUGGAUUAGCUCUGAUUCUUGAUCUUGUGUUGGAGAGAGAGAGAGAGAGAGAGAGAGAGAGAGAGAGAGAGAGAGAGAAACCCUAAUGGCGGUGGUAUCGGCUUUGGCGAAGUACAAGCUGGUGUUUUUGGGAGAUCAAUCGGUGGGGAAAACGAGCAUCAUCACUCGAUUCAUGUAUGACAAAUUCGACACCACUUAUCAGGCCACUAUUGGCAUUGAUUUUCUGUCGAAGACAAUGUACCUUGAAGAUCGCACAGUUCGCUUACAGCUUUGGGAUACUGCUGGGCAGGAGAGAUUUAGGAGUCUUAUUCCAAGCUACAUUAGAGAUUCUUCUGUUGCAGUCAUUGUUUAUGAUGUUGCAAACCGACAAUCCUUUUUGAACACUUCAAAGUGGAUUGAGGAAGUACGCACAGAACGAGGUGGUGAUGUUAUUAUUGUCCUUGUUGGAAACAAAACAGAUCUUGUUGAAAAAAGGCAAGUCUCUAUAGAAGAAGGAGAAGCAAAGUCCCGUGAAGUUGGUGUCAUGUUCAUAGAGACCAGUGCUAAAGCUGGAUUCAAUAUCAAGCCACUAUUCCGAAAGAUUGCUGCAGCCCUGCCAGGAAUGGAGAACCUCUCUUCCACAAGACAGGAAGAUAUGGUCGAUGUAAACCUGAAGCCCACAGUAAGCUCAUCCAACACUGAGCAACAAUCAGGAGGCUGUGCCUGCUAGAAGAGAGCAAGAACUUUUUGUCUAUAAGGUGAGAGCUCUUACCAGUUGGUGAUAGUACAAUUUGAACUUCAACCAUAAAUGCACAGUGCAAGAGAUAUUGUCAUUCCUCGUUGCUAUAAGAUGAUACAUCUACAUAAUUUAGGGAAUGAAGGAGCCUUCAGUUUCCAGAAUCACUUGUUUCCUUUGUUCUCGUGACGUGUUGUUGCUCAAUAGUGUAUGAUGGAUAUUCCCAUUAUUUUGUUUUGUUUGUCAUUCUUCUUUAUUUCCAUACCGAGCUUGAAUGUUGUUAUGUUAUAAGCUUGAUAAUUUUGAAUAUGUGUUUUGUAAACUUUAAUUUGUUUUUUGGGUUAGAGAGAGGUUUCAAUUUAUCAGUAUGUUUAGUGAUUUACAGUCCAGUAUUAUUGUGAUUACCUUUUGUUA